rnacentral:rRNA from 1 species
AACGAACGCUGGCGGCAUGCCUAACACAUGCAAGUCGAACGAGCCCUUCGGGGCUAGUGGCGCACGGGUGCGUAACGCGUGGGAAUCUGCCCUUAGGUUCGGAAUAACAGUUAGAAAUGACUGCUAAUACCGGAUAAUGACUUCGGUCCAAAGAUUUAUCGCCUAGGGAUGAGCCCGCGUAGGAUUAGCUUGUUGGUGAGGUAAGAGCUCACCAAGGCGACGAUCCUUAGCNGGUCUGAGAGGAUGAUCAGCCACACUGGGACUGAGACACGGCCCAGACUCCUACGGGAGGCAGCAGUGGGGAAUAUUGGACAAUGGGCGAAAGCCUGAUCCAGCAAUGCCGCGUGAGUGAUGAAGGCCCUAGGGUUGUAAAG